AAAUGCAAAACACCAUUUGCAAAUAUAUAAGAGUGUACAAAAAGUUUUGAAUGUUUAAAAUUCACGAGUUCAUCCUGAAUGAGAAUGUGCAAAUCCUCUCUCACGUACGACUCACCCUGAAUACGAGUGUGUGCAUUUUUGAGACUUUCCUGUCAGCACACACCUCCCACGUGAGUCACUCGUGCCCUGUAGCCAAUAAGAUGCGAGCUUACUGUUCAACCAAUCACAACUCCCUGAGAACGCGGGAAUGACCGAAGCGCUUCACUGUGCGCUCCAUUUGCGCAGUCUGACCUAAUUAACGGAGAUGAUCCUCUAAGAAGAAGAAUACUCCUCUAUUUAGCAUGGCAGGUGAAGAGCGGGAUGCGCGGGUAAGUGGUUACUUGAUUUCUAUAGUGGUUUAUGUAUGCAAAGAUUAAGUAUCAAACGUUUGUUAAAGCAAUGGCUGCUGUUGUUUAUAAUGUAAACUUUAUAACGUAAAUUAAGUCCGUUAUUAAGCCAACAUGGCGAGUGAAAAACGGGAUGGUCGUGUAAAAUAGCAUGGCUUCUGUCAUGGUCGAUUCUAGGAUUGUCAUUCAAGGAGGGGUCAGCUAUAAAUUUGAUCGGGGACUAAUUUGGGGGUGGAAUCGAUCGCGUACUAAAGUGAAGACCGGGAGAGCGUAAUGCCGUUUUGGGUGUGGGUGGGUAUGGGGGGUGGAGAGAGGAGAUGAUCGCCGACUGUAAGGAACGGGCGGGGUGGGGGUCGGCAGUGUUGAUCGCGGACUAUGAAGAUAACAAAUGAUAAAAGGUAUAAUUGGUAUUUGUCUUACAGGCACUGUCAUUAGAAGUAGAAAUAGCAGCAAAAGCUCUGAUCGAUGUAUUAGCCAGGGGCCUUACUCCAUCUUCGUAAAGAAAUGCACUAGCAAGUGGUAGUAGACCAAUGAGAGAAAGCAUCUCAAGUGGGACCAUUCCUUUGCCUGCAGAGCCUGAAAACAUGGUAAGGCAAGCCUUAAAAAGGUAAUUUUUCAUGUUUACUGUAAAACACAACUUUUUGUGUCAUGCAAAAAAUGUUUCUUAUUAUUAAUAUGUUUAUUCAUUUUGCCCUUUUGUCACUAUGGGCAAUUCCCAAGUAUGUUUGGGACAGAGAUUUUUCUGUGGCCAAACCUGGAAACAUUUAAAAAACUGAUUUUCAAAUACAUGUCCUCUCUAAACCAUCACCCUUCACACCAAAAGGAGAUGAAGACCUUGAGCUUGUCCAUGCUGGACUUGGAAAAAGGCUUUUAACUGUUCCAGAUAAUUUUAAACACAGUGAGAUUGUCAGUCUGCUUGAAGGAGAGUUUCCCAAAUUAAAAACACUUCAGGGUGGCUGGAUGUUUUACAAGUCUACAGGUAUUUAUGUUUUGCAUGUUACAUAUAAACAAAAAAUGAUUUGUGUGCAUUUGCAAUAACUUUGCACUUUUGUAAAUUAAUGAAACUGGUAUGUGCUUUGUUGGCGUUAAUAAUUUAGUAAUAAGCUUCAUUAGUUUAAACUUUUUAGUCAAGGACAUGUUUCUUUGCCAUGUUCUAAGAUUAUGGCAUGCCCUACUUCAGUUUUCCAGUGGUAAACAGAGCUUUAUAGAACAUUUCUGUCCAAAAUUUUAGGUGACACAUUUAUAACAAUAUUGCUAGCCCAAGAAGGCAACAGUAGUCCUGAAUGUGAUUCUCAAUUGAUUUUGCCAUUAGGUGGGGGUGGGGGUGGGCGGCGUAAGCUGUCUAUAAUUCCCACAGAUGCUGAUGGAUACUCAACUCGACUCCUAAAAUCAGUGUCAAAUAAUGGAAAGAACAUGCUGUUUGUAGUUCCAUUACAGGAACAGCUUUCCACUGAACCAUUACCUUAUGAUUCUGUGGAGUUUGCUAAGAUGCCACAGUCCAGCUGUAUGAAAUGUGGUAAGAAAAUACCACUGCCAUUGCUGCCCUUACACAUUGAAGAGUGUAAAGAAGCUGAGACAGUAAGUCAUACAGUAUUAUGGUUUUAUUGUUCUAUCAAUAUUAUUUAUUUACAAUGCCAAUGCAUUUUGAUUACUUUUAUUAGGAGUCUUCAAAUGAUUUGACCAUUCUAGAUGAUGAUGUAGACGAAAAUGUAAUCGAAACUGUUGACCAGCCAAGCCCACUUCACCCCAUCUUAGAACCAUCAUUACAGAUUUGUCCAAUUUGCCAGAUCUCUUUCCCAACUGAUGUCUUGCCUUUUCAUGCAAGCAUGUGUGGUGAAGGGUAAAGUUAUGCUAAAAAUUGUAGGGUGACAUGCCUUUAAUACUAAAGGAUUAGUUUGCACAGUUUGUUUUGGUUGUAUAUAUCUCGAGGGAGAUGUACAAAGAUCAGAUGGAAUGUAGGGUAAAAAAUUAACAAAAUAAUUUUCUGGUGGACUGUCUUAAAUUUAAAUUAAUGUGUUGGUUUCAUAAACUGGGUCAGUAGUAGACAUUAUUAGAUUUGAUGUAUGUAGCUUUUAUAAGCCUUGCUUUGAGAAAAUCAUUACUGGUGACUUUUGACAUUAAUGGCUAUAUACAGUAUGUCAUUGUAAGUUACAUCCAGACUUUGUCUGGCACUAGGGUCUAAGCCUUGUCUAUGAAACUGGGCAAAUGCUUUUAAUAUGCAUGAACAUUUUUGAAGUGGCUUAAUGAACAAAAUUGAAAUUGUUUGUGUCUUGCCUGUUUUAGAGAAAGGACUUUUGGUGACAAUGAUUCUUCAUUCACUUUAAAUACAGAAGAAUUGCCAGGACCCUCAACUGCACAAUCUUCAACAUCAUUGUCUGCAGGUUAGACACAACACAUUUUUUUUUUUUCAAGAGUUCACACUUAGCUGAUAAUCAAU